CGUGGGGGCGGGGGAGAGCUACCUCAUACUCUUUUCUGCAUCCUCACUGUUGAAGUCCGAGGUCUGGGCCAGCUGAGUCCUGAGCAUGAGAUGCUUUUCUUGUAGUUGCUGGGCCUCUGCAUGGAGAUAGUCCUCCCGACCCCAUUGGGGGCUGUAUGCUCGCAGGUGAAAGCCUGCUUUGUGCCGUUAUUUUCCAGGAGGGCAGGAGCCACGGCUGCCUGAGCAAACGUGAACCACGUGUCUUCCCUACAAAAAGCCAGACGGUGGUGGGGGCUGUGGCUGUUGCGCACAGUAGGUUGUUUCCUUGUGCUGCGUGAAGCAUUAAGGAAAUGAGAUGCAACUCUGUUACCAUCGGCCUGAGUUUCACACACAGAGGUGGUGCCUGCUCUCCGGGCCCCUCCGGGCUGUGGCACUCUUUGCAGAGCAGGAGCCCAGGGUGUCACCUAUCGAGCUCACAGGGUUGCAGGUCUUGAAGCCCCUUCAAAUCUUAGGGUGGCUCUCAGGCUCAUGAUGCCAAGGAAGUGGCAGACCAAGGACCCUGGAGUAAGGCAGAGGGUCAGGCAGGUGAUCAAGGUCAGAGCAGAGACAAGGGUGAAAAACAGGGCAGGAGCAACCAACAAAACAGUUCCCAGAUCAGGAAGACAAGCCAGGGCACAAAUUCUAGAACGAGGCAGGUGGUCAGAAGUGCCGUCACAAAGCAAGUGACUGACGGGAGCCCAAGGCAGGACAGGCAUUGCGGCUCCUGGAGAGAGAAGACAUUUUUGUGACCAAGGCAGCCACUGGCCUUGAGUAUCUCUGGAGGCAGGAACGCGUUCUCUGUGGGCCUGUGGCAGGGAUCCUCCCAGCUAGAUGCCUUUCCUGCCUUGUUUGGCUCACAGAUGGGUGACAGAGGAAGGUCACCCACUUCUGCUUAGCUUUCUUCUAUGCGUGGGCACCUGUGCUUGACCAUUGGUGCCUUGGUCCAACCAAACAUUCCCACUCCCAGGACCUAAGCGGGCCCCGCUGAUGCAGGCUAUUCAGCUUGUAGACGAUGCAGAACUGAAAGCACCUGGGAGCAGCCCAGGGCCAGGUGGGUCUCUUCAGCCGGAGGCCUGCCAUGGUCUCUAGGGCUUUUCUCCAGCCCCCGUGGGGAUGACUUAUGUGAAAGGGAAUGAGAACUCAGAGGGCACAGGAGCCACCCUGCCUAGAGGUUUCUGCCCCAUUGGCACCAGUCUCUUGUGGUGGCCCUUAGGCACAGCUUCCGGCGUCGUAGCUAGGGACCCUCCAGAAAUAAGUCACUGUUAUGUCGGAAGCCCCAGAUUUAUCAAGAGGUAAAUGGGAAAGGGACCCUUUUGCUAAAAGAGAUAAGGUGCUCUGCUUGAUAUGUUAAAUACUGCUGUCCACAGUUAUUUGUGGGAAAUGCUUGUGAUCCUAAGGUAAGACGAUAUCCUAUAAAAAUUAAUUGGACAAAAGAAUAGUUCAGUGAUCUAGGUGUUCAAGGUAUAAUUCGAAGACACAGUAAAACUCCACAACAAGAUUUUGCUCACUGGGCGAUCAAAACACCUGGCUGUGGCCUUUCACUCCCUCCCCGACAGAUGGUCUUCCUUGUCACUUUGCGGAAUGUGGGGGUCGGGUCAGCAUUCCCACCAAUUGUCACCAGAUGGCAGCAGAGGACUUUGGUUGGAUGUGAACAUGGGCAUCGCAGACUGUCAGGGCCUUUGGGAGGUUGCUCAGGUGCCUUCCUCCUCCUUCCCCAUCCCACCUGCGGUCCUUGGCUGGCUCCCGCUGUGGCCUGCACUGUUGAACUGUUGAACAAACACAGCACUCACUUUCUUUUGACUCUACCUCCUUCCCCAACUCCCAGCAGGGCCCGCAGGCUCUUUAUCAGUGGGGAUCAGAGCCCUCAAUGGGCCCAGGCCAGCUGGCAGCAUCACCCCAUCUGUCUACCCUUGGGCCUUGAAGACUUGUGUGCCCAUCUUGACCCCUUAGCCAGGCUUCGGUAACUGGUUCACACUGCAGACUUCAAAGCCCAUGAGUUUGUAACAACACUGCCUGCCCAGCAGCUCUUGGCCCAUGCCCGUGGUGGUGCAAGUUUGCCAGCCUCGCUGCAACUGGGUGUCCAGGCAGGCCCACUUCAUGGGCAGUGAAGGGAGUGGGUUGUUGUCCUCAUCUCCUAAAUCCCACCCACACAAGGGGGCCAUCCCACCCUUUUACAGCUGCCGAACUUUCACUGUCAGACCCAGUGAUCAGCCUCACCAGGCACCAAGUCCUGUCCUCCUCCUCCUCCUCCUCUUCCUCCUCCUCCUUCUGUUCCUCCUGUUGUUCCUCCCCCUC